UUGACCUCGGAUCGGGUAGGAGUACCCGCUGAACUUAA
rnacentral:rRNA from 1 species